UUCAGAUCCUCAAAAAGCCGGUGUGAGGUCCUAGCCCCCCACUAUUAGCAACCUCCUCACCGACACGCCUCCCUCUUGUUGACAACCUCGGCUCGCCAGGAAAUUUGACUACUGGGAUGUACACUUUCAGUGACUAAAAUAUUCUACUUCUAUGUGUUCUGUUUGAGAAACAAUUUAGACAUUUGCACUAUAUGUUGUAUAGUAUAUCAUGUGUGAAAAAUAACGAAGAAUUUUCUUACCCCUCCAGUAGCAUUUUGAACUGUGUAAUCCUUGUUUGCGUUGCAAUAUUCACAUCUUGCAGUUUUGAUAUGUGUGGUUCGAACAUUUUGGUACAUACACAUGCACCUGUGAGAUUAGCGCAGCCUGUCCUUGAUUUAUUUUCUUGCCAUUGUGUUGCCUUUUCCUUGGCACAUUUGCUAUUGGAAUUCUGUCAGAUUAGAUGACUGGUUCUGAAGAAAGAUUUAAUGUCCAUUUGUUUCCCAGAUUUGUGAGUUGGAUAUCUUGUUCAUUCAAUUGUUCGUUAAUCGCGAAAUCUAAGUUGCUGACAUUUAAACAUAUCAACAGAAUGGAAAUUUUGUCUCGGUUUACUCUUCACUUUAAAGAGGGCACCCAUUAGAUUUGUGCCGAGCACCGUUCAAGCCAAUGAACAGGCUCCUUUUGUUUUGGGUGGUUGGCUCUUUUAUAAAUUCUAUACGAAUACCUAAGUACUUUUGUUCCCGGAUUUUAAUUUGGAGAAGAAACAAAGUUGGUUAUACAAGCACCGUUUAUGCUAUUGAACAAGCUCUUUUUGUCUGGGCGGUUGGCUCUUUUUAUAAAUUGUAUGCAAAUACGUAACUCCUUUUGUACCCAGAUUUUUAUUUGGAGAAAAAUAUAAAAUUUGUUAUACCGUUUAUACCGUUUCUAUUUGGAGCGCACUCUUGUUUGCCAUGGUGCAUAUUGAUUUUUAUAAUUUGUUCUGCUACCAAAUUCAAUGGGCCUUUUUUCCCUCUGUCAAUAUUGGGGCAUAAUGAACAUGUUUAGUAACAAUGAGGCCUCUAAUCGACGCGAGAUAUGCACAUAUAUACACUACUCUUGUGUACUACGCGCGUCAAUUUAUUCCAAUCGGAGGGAGUACAAGGCACUGCUCCCGAUUAUUUGAUUUGUUCUUUUCCAAAUGUUGACUGCACUUCUCUGCAAUGCCAAAUAAUAUAUUGGGCACCAUUUGAUUUAGAGUAGGCACCAAGUUAGAGUGUUGAUUUUCUUAUUUUUUUAAAGAGAUACUGAAACAUUGGGCACCCUUUUUGUUUUAAACAUGGAGUAUAGAUGAACACCUAAGUCUGUUCUUGAUUGAUUUUCUUUUAAAUAUGUGGCACUUUUCUUCUGCCUGGGCAAUUUGAAGGCUCCUCUGUGCAUACUGUGAGGCCUUGUUGGACAUACUGUCCAGGGCACAACUAAAAUCUUCAUAACUAAUAGUGUGUUGUCAAGUACCGUUUACAUACUUGCAAUUGCCAUGCGGGCAAUUCUCAGACCCCAUAGAUGGUCGAUCUUCCUGUCCAGAAAAGUUUGCACUUUGCCAUGCACGCAUGUGACCAAAAAAGUCUUUUUAUGCAACCGGGUUUGAUGGAAAAGGCUGAUCAGUCAAUGCAGAAAAUGUCAGACUAGGUUUCCAGUUUAGGUCAUGUGUAAGGGAAAGGUGAGGCUUGUGUUUGCCUAUUUUGGUUUGCAUCUAACCAUUUAAUAAUUGAUCAGUUUGACGUACAAUUCUCACUGUUGUGUUUUUCCUUAAAUAUCUACUACAAUUGAGGGUACAUAAGUAUGUGUGGCACUUUUAAUAAAUCAUAACAAAGUAGCUACAUUGAUUUUUAUUUGUAACAACAAACAAGAUGGUUAAAAAUAUACAAAGCAUUAAACAACUGUAUGAUUUUAGUCUGUGCAUAUACUCAUAAUGUUAUUGUACAAGUUUAUUUUUACAAGUCAUACAAAGGUAACUAAUUCGAUAAAAGAUUCUCACAUACUUGUGAUAGAAGGAUAUUAUUUAGGGUUCAAGCACCCUCCUCACAAACAAAAACAUACUGAUGCUUAAGGAAAUGAGAAAAUUUUGCACCCCCAAAGAACCCUUUUGGUUGUUACCUAGCACCGUUUUCAUUUUUCUCACGCACUGUUCCCUACCACGUGUGGCUCUUUUUAUAUAUCAUACCCCAUUCUGAUAGCAUAUGUUAGCAUAUUUAUCUAUGGUUUAACUACUAUCUGUUGAUCAAUUAGGGUAAAACAUUUACUUGUGUUAUCAUGCAUCUGCAGGAUUUCUUUGGUAGUAAAAUAGAUUAAAAUUUGCUUUUGAGCUGUUGGGAUAGAAGUGAGCUGAAGCAAGCUAAAAGGACAUGUUCACAGGCACCUCAUCAGAUUUUUCUAAGCAAGGAUUUGGAGUUCUAACUUCGUUACUUCCUCAUCUUAUCCACACCAAACCAGACCAUGGACCCCAAUGGCAAUGUAAUACAGGCGUGCUGCCAUCAUUUAUUCCAAGGGGCGCCUGGUGAUUCAGAGUCUACGCCGACGAGCUGAUGCAUCCGGCAUGUCAGCUAUAUCUACUUGAUUAUUUUUCUAUUUGUGUUACAAACAAUAUGGUAUUGUAUUAUGAACCAUUAACAUAUACUUUGUUUUCUUUUCUGUUUUGAUUGGUUUCAGCGCUGUGCUAGGCCAUCGUCAUAUAUAGCCAUCUGGUGCUGUGUGUGGCCCUGGCAGGUGUCCAAAGUCUAUGUCACAUGGUGGGCCUAGCCAGUACAACGUAGUAGUAUUAUAUGAUGCUCGUAGAGCUGUUGUUUUAAAUGUUGAUUCAGUUUGAAUUUCCCGUUACGCCAAA